GAUGAACGCUGGCGGCGUGCCUAAUACAUGCAAGUCGAGCGAACAGACGAGGAGCUUGCUCCUCUGACGUUAGCGGCGGACGGGUGAGUAACACGUGGAUAACCUACCUAUAAGACUGGGAUAACUUCGGGAAACCGGAGCUAAUACCGGAUAAUAUAUUGAACCGCAUGGUUCAAUAGUGAAAGACGGUUUUGCUGUCACUUAUAGAUGGAUCCGCGCCGCAUUAGCUAGUUGGUAAGGUAACGGCUUACCAAGGCAACGAUGCGUAGCCGACCUGAGAGGGUGAUCGGCCACACUGUAACUGAGACACUGUCCAGACUCCUACGGGAGGCAGCAGUAGGGAAUCUUCCGCAAAGGGCGAAAGCCUGACGGAGCAACGCCGCGUGAGUGAUGAAGGUCUUCGGAUCGUAAAACUCUGUUAUUAGGGAAGAACAAAUGUGUAAGUAACUAUGCACGUCUUGACGGUACCUAAUCAGAAAGCCACGGCUAACUACGUG
rnacentral:rRNA from 1 species